rnacentral:lncRNA from 1 species
GGUCAUCGAAGGCAACAUAUAACAUCUCAGGAUUUGAUUUAAGGGUCAUCGAAGGCAACAUAUAUCCAUCUCAUAAUUUUAUUUAACGGUCAUCGAAGGCAUCAUAUAUCCAUCUCAGUAUAUAUAGCCAAUAACAAUUGGACUUAUGGUUCACCGAGGCAACAGUUAACCAUCUCUGAAUUUAAUUUAAGGGUCAUCGAAGGCAACAUAUAUCCAUCUCAGUAU